rnacentral:lncRNA from 1 species
UCAAGGUCAAGGUGGGGACCCAUCUUUGGUGCAAUUUGCUCUUCCCCUUCUCACUGCUCUUCCCCUUCUCACAGAUGGCCAUGAGCUUGGUUUCUUCCUCAUGCAGGCAGUCUGGGUAGGCUCCCCGUCGGUGUCGGCUUCCCCUGCCUGCCACUCCUCUCCUCUGAUGGAGUUGACCUUUGCUGGAGCGGACAAGUUUGGAUGCCCGUGCGCCUUUGGUGGUGGGAUAGGUAACCCCCCCUCAUCCCCAUGCUCUCUCUCUUUCUGUAAUGUAUCCAUGGCCAUCUGUACGCAUUUCAAGCAGGGGGCAAGCAGCUAGCAAAAUACUGAAUACAAAGCUCCUUGUUGUGUUUUACGAAAGGAAUUGGGUGUACUUGAAUUGUGAAGGAAGAAAGGGCCAUUGGACUGUAUGGGAAGAAUGGGAUGAUGUCAUUUGCUUCUCGACCACGUUGCCCCUGGUAAGCUCAUUACUCUCCCUCCUCAUUAGAUUUGUAUAUGUUUGCUGCUAAAACAACAACCACCACCAAUUAGCCUAGCAGGCCUCUAUUCAGGUAGUUAAUUGCUGCACUCAAUUAUCCUACUAAGUACUAACCAAUGUCAGUUUUUUCUCUUACGUUGAGUGGGAUUAUUUUAGUUUAUUAAUAUUUUUAGCAGGAUGUUUGUUGUGAGCUGUUACUGUAUUCAUCUGUUGGAUGUCCUACUGCACAUCUAGGCUUAUUAUUGUUCUAUAUUGCUUUUGCUCUGUGUAGGGAUGCGGUCAGGGUUUGCUGCUGGAUUGAGUGCUUUCCGUUGAUGGUUUCCGUCUGCUCAUGUUCUUGACUGUCGAACUGGUGGGAUAUGUCGUUGUUGUUGCUCAUGGUUGUCUCGACAGUUUUGCUUUUGGUCGACGGUGCCAUCGCAGGUGCUUUUCUUUUCUCAUUCCUUUGUUUAUGCCUUCGAAUGUACAUGUUCUAAUUUAGAAUUCAUCUUUUAGGUAUGGAUUGUGGCUUACUAAGUCUAAUGUUUGGUUUGGGUUUUCCUUUUUUUAUCUGGAGUUGGUCAGUUCAUAUGAAGCAAAAUAAAGGCAUGCAGUACCUUACAACGACACUCUGAUUAAUCAGGCAACAUAAGCUAUUACAUACUGUUGUGUAACGUAUGACAUGCCAGAUUCACUCAUCAGCAUAUAUCUGUCUUUCUCUUCCUUAUGCAGUAAACCUUCUGGUUACAUUUUGAAAUCAUCACCUCAUGUUUUGCCGUGCAAUAUUGUCUCUGUUUGAUCAAAGUGCAUGAAUCUCUAUACACACCAUAAGGCAUCUUAGAAUUGAAAAUGUUGUGCAUGACUGCACAUUUUUGCAGAAAUAUUCCUGAAAUUGAUACUAGCUCCAUCUAUUUGUUGUUUCCAUGUAAUUGCAACGUGCUCUUUUUUUGAGCUUCGCUAUUCUGAGAUUUAACAUUGGUUGUGUUUUUCUGCGGCUUAGCAGAAGCGUCGUUUGGGGGUCGAGCCACUAAUGCAGAAGAUUCAUAGCGGGAUUCACCAAGUGGACGCUGGCAUCCUCCCGCCGUCCGGCACCAGGUUUGGUCUCGUGAUCCCAUGUUCCAUUAGCUUUGCAAUAUCUAUGAUCUUUACAGUAAGACUGGUUAAUAUGGCCAAACUGACACUACAAAAAAAAUACACUUCCGUGAUGAUACGUGUUUGUCACAGUAGGUCGCGUUUUUUAUCAUGCAUAUACAUCCAUGACAAAUUUAUGACAGAAUCAAGAUAGUCAUACCUGUGCUGUCGUAGAAGUGUUCCAUGACAUUACCAAAAUUAUCAUCACGGAAAUGUCCACCUCCAUGACGAUAAAUCGCGCGUCACAUAAGUGCUUUCGUUAAGGGUGACCGACACGUGGCCUCCACCAUAACGGAACGCCGUUAAGCUAUCGGGUCGGGUUUUGGAUCCGAUAACCCGUUAACAGCCCCGACCAAUGGGGAUUUUCCACGUGUAAAAUCAUCAUUGGCUGGAGGAAACACGUGUCGGCUCAUCGCUGGGACAGAUGUCAUCCACUCAUUGGACAGAAGGCGCCUAUGAUACGUCGACACGUGGCACGGCCCAACAGAGACCCAUUCCUGUGAAAAGGCCGGCCCGUUUGACUUGGUCAAAAGGUGGCGGGCCGGCCCAUGGAAAGCCUGUUAACGGCCUGUUCGCAUAUAGCCGAUUUACAGCCCGCUAACCCAAGGCCCGUUACGCCCUAUUCGAAUUAGGCCCAGUAGCGUCAUCUGGGACAUCCAAUAUGAUUCCAGCCCGUUUUCACUUCUGGCCCAUGUAUGGCCAUGACGUCUUUCGGCCCAUAUGAGGCCCUAUGUAACUCUUGGCCUAUUAACGGCCCGUGGUGAAACUGGCCCGUAAUGAACAGUGUAUCACUUUACACCCAUUAACGGCCCGUAGUGAAACUGGCCCGUAAAGACCGGUGUAUCACUUUAUACCCAUUAACGGCCCGUUAUUCCGUUGGGCCGUUUCCAGCCCAUGUUAUCUUUCGGCCUUCUCAGAGCCCAUUUAUUCUUGGGCUAUUUUCUAGCAUUCGUUUACUUACGGCCCGUUACUGUCAUUUUCUGCUUGUGGGCCAAAUUCAGCCCGUGGUUACAGUCGGCCCGUUUGUGGUCCGUUAAUACGUUGGGCCGUUUUCAUAGCGUCAUCAAAUACAGCCUAUUAACGAUGGCCCGUUAUGGUCGGCCCAUGAACGGACGAUUCCAACUCUAGCCCGUUUACGGCCAGAAUGCAGUCUGUUUGGCCCAUGUUUGGCCAAUCGAUCAUACGGCCCGUAUAAGGCCAAUUGAUGAUACGACCCGUAGAAGGCCCAUUGUUUCUACGACCCGUAGAAGGCCCACUGUUUCUACGGCCCGUAGAAGGCCCACUGUUUCUACGGCCCGUAGGAGGCCCAGUGUCACUACAGUAAAUAUUAGCCCAUGGUUAUUGUGGCCUAGUUUUAAAAAAUAGGUUAUUGCAGCCACUAGCAAACCGCAGAAAAAGAACUGCACUGACUACAAGAAAACAAAUAAACAAGACAACAAGGAAAUAAAUAAGCAAGCAACUUACACUAGGCUAUCACGGCUAUUACACAUAUUACAUCCACUGGGCAUCAAAGUUCGCCACCAGUGCAAAUAUAGGGAACACAGCAGCAUAUAAACGCCGCAGCAAAACAAGUCCAGAACUGAAACCACUUCAGAAGAGCUCAAGAAACAAUAUCCUGGGUACCCAUAAUGCUGGCAAGAUGCUUAGCAAGCUUAUUAACUUUCUUUUGUUUGGCGCUUAAGUCCUCCAACGCUUGCUGUUGCAUCAGAAAGUAUGCAUCUGAAUUCUGCAGGGACUUCCUCAGUCCUUCGGCUUCCUGUCGCAUAACAUCUGAUCGAUGUCUUUCAACUUGAAGUUGAGACUCAAGAAGCCGAACUGAUUCAGGCAACGAGUUCGAAGAGCUGGUGCCAGCAGUGGUAGCGAGUAACUCGAACACUACAUCAAGACAGGACUUUGGGGUUGUCUCAGUGUCUAUAGUUUUUAUCAGCUUUCUUGGAGACCAACAGGGAUGUCUCACUAUCUUGAACCUUAUCUACAUUACUUCCUUUACCAUUGCAUAACAGGGUACUCUUCUCCAAUAUUUUAUCCGCGUUCUAAAAGAGAAACAAACAAACACAUCUCAGGUUUACAAUGUAGUAUAUGAAACUCAUUUUGGUAAACCAGUUCAGUAGUAAGGUGGACAGGAUAACAACAUGAAACAAACAUAUAGCUAUGUAGUAUGGUCACUGUAUGGUCUAUAUCAUUAUAGUUUAUGUUGCCAAAUCAAGAUAGAUACAGUUCGAAUCAUAUCUAUUUAAGACAAAGCAUCAUAGACAGAAUAUAAGUGUGGGAAACUACACAGCAAUAACAACACUUGUAAUGUGCAUGGCAUGAGAACAUAACUGUUUAUUCAAUUGAAACUAAAAUCAACAUAGAGCAAGUUACAAUAGCAAACAACCAAACACGUUGAAGAAACAGGUUUAAAACAUACCUGUUGCGCCAUUGGAGUUUCAAUUGCAUCCUUCAAAUUUGAAAUUAGUUGGUAUCAGUAAAUACAGUGAUGCAAGAGCAAAGUAGUAUGAACCACAGCUACGGAAUCUGACCUGAGAACAAUUCUUCUUCUGCUUUAAGCGUUGACUUCGGGUUCGGAGUGGUGGUCCUCAUGAUUUGGGCACUGCAGUUGCCUUACUAACUGCUCGUGUUUGGGUGCUCUGUGGUGGAGACGGUGCUGUGUCAACGGGAACUGGGUGUCUAUCUGCUGGGGUUGGGGUUAGAAGGGGUAUAGCUGGUUCUCUGUCCAACUGGGUAGGGGUACAAUCUGCAUGAGUGUGGGUUAUGUGUGGUGGGGCUGGUUCUUGGGCAAGUACAACCGUGGUUCUAUCUGCAUCGACAGGUAGCACGAUCUUUUCUGAAGACCGUGUUUUUACUCCCACAGAUACUACCAUCAGUCCCUUCAAUUGAAAUGGCUGAUAAACAAGAAAAGUAAUUGAAUGUACAGACAUUGUAAGAUAGACAGGUGCAAUGGAUAGUAGGGAAGAAAACAGGGCAUGAAAUAAUUCACAUUUAUGUUGUCUAAGCAAACAGAAUAGCAGGACAUAAUUUCACAUAUAUGAUGGCUAAUUAAACAGGAUAGCAUGACACAAUUUCACAUGUAUGAUGGCUAACUAAACAGUAUAGAAUGACAUACUUCAAAAUAUGAUGACUAUGUAAACAGGAUGACAUGAUAUAACUAUACGAUGUGUCUAUUAAAGUGGUUGGCAUGCCAUAAAUCACAAACAUGCCGUCGAUGGAAACAUGAUGGCAUGAUAUAAUUCACGGAUAGAAUGACAUAAUUUAAAAUAUGAUGACUAUGUAAACAGGAUGAGAUGAUAUAACUAUAUUAUGUCUUUAGAAAAUGGGUUGGCAUGCCAUAAUUCAGAUACAUGCUGUCUAUGUAAACAUCAUGGCAUGACAUAAUUCAAAUAUAUGAUUUAUAUACUAAGGAAGUGAGCAGUGAGCAGAGGGCAUUCAAUAUUGUGUAUAUGAUGUAAAAACUAAGCAUUGCAAUACAACAUAUGCAUUAUAUGAGUAAUAUAACCCUGCCAAGUUUGAGCAUACACCUCAGGGGGAUAAUAGGACUGGUCAUCUGCCUCUGAAUCCUCCUCUGAAGAGCUAUCUGUAACCAGCAAGAUAUCUGCUUCAGCAGGUAGCAUUGUCUGCUCUGAAGACCUUGUUUUCACUCCAGAUUUCUCCUUCACCAAUUCAAACGGCUGAUGCACAGGAAGAGCAGUUGAAUAUACAAACAUUGUCGACCAAAGCAAUGAGAAAUACAAAAAAAAGGACGGCAUGAUAUAAUUCACAUAUAUGACGCUUGCCUAAACAGCAUGCACUACUAGGAAAAGGGCUAUAGAUGGAAUGGCCACUAAUGGCGCACUGUACAUGUGGUGCGCCAUUACUAAAUACUAAUGGCGCACCAUGUGUCGGUGCGCCAUUAGUGUGAAAAUACUAAUGGCGCACCACAUCCACGGUGCGCCAUUAGUAAUUUUUUUUAAUUUUUUCAAAACUACUAAUGGCGCACCGUGGGAUGGUGCGCCAUUAGUAGUUCAACUAGUAAUGGCGCACCACCCCACGGUGCGCCAUUAGUAAUUAUGUUUCAAAUUUUUUUUUUCAAAUUUUUUUAUUUUUAUUUUUUAAACUACUAAUGGCGCACCUGUGAGUGGUGCGCCAUUAGNNNNNNNNNNNNNNNNNNNNNNNNNNNNNNNNNNNNNNNNNNNNNNNNNNNNNNNNNNNNNNNNNNNNNNNNNNNNNNNNNNNNNNNNNNNNNNNNNNNNNNNNNNNNNNNNNNNNNNNNNNNNNNNNNNNNNNNNNNNNNNNNNNNNNNNNNNNNNNNNNNNNNNNNNNNNNNNNNNNNNNNNNNNNNCAUUACUAGUUGAACUACUAAUGGCGCACCACUCAUAGGUGCGCCAUUAGUAAUUUUAUUACAAAUUUUGUUUGUUUCAAUUUUUUUUUGAAAAACUACUAAUGGCGCACGGUUGGGGAGGUGCGCCAUUACUAGGUGAACUACUAAUGGCGCACCACCCCCAUGGUGCGCCAUUAGUAACUUGGCCCAUUCCACCGAAUGCACCCCCCGGACCGCCUUUUCAGUUUAAAAAAAAAUAAAAGAAAAUGAUGGAAAUGUCAAAAAAAUAAAAUAAAAUAAGUUUCCCAUGUGAUAUGUGGUCUAGUUGUUGGGAAAAUUAACAAAUAUGAAUUUCGACUUUAUUUGCAAAAUCUCUCUGAAAUUUCUUAAAAUGGGCAUAACUUUUGCAUACGAACUCGGAUGAAAAAGUUUUUUAUAUGAAAAAUCAUCUACUCGAAAAGUUACAUCCGAAUUUAACUGGGGGAACUCCGUUAAACAUUUUCAAAAUCCUCAAAAACCUAACAGAAAAAAAGAUACGGGGCUUUUAAGAUCUGGAGAGGCAAAAAAAUUCAAAAAAUAUCAAACUUACUAAUGGCGCACCUGCCCAUGGUGUGCCAUUACUAUCUUCCCGCCUUCAAAAUUCAAAAUAAAUUAAAAAAAAUAAAAAAGUUACUAAUGGCGCACCUGCCCAUGGUGCGCCAUUAGUAUCUUCCCGCCUUCAAAAUUCAAAAUAAAUCAAAAAAAUAAAAAAAAGUUACUAAUGGCGCACCUGCCCAUGCUACGCCAUUAGUAUCUUCCCGCCUUCAAAAUUCAAAAUAAAUAAAAAAAAUUAAAAAAUAGUAAUGGCGCACCUGCCCAUGGUGCGCCAUUACUAUGCCGUAUAUAUGGCUGGGCGUGUCCUCUCCUCCUUACCUCUUCAUUCUUCUCCUCCACUCCACCUCUCCUCCACUUCAUCUCCUUCUCCCUCCUCUCCGGUGAGCUCCUCCUCCCUCCUCUGCGGUGAGCUCCUCCUCCCUCCUCUCCGGUGAGCUCCUCCUCCCUCCUCUCCGGUGAGCUCCUACUCCCUCCUCUCCGGUGAGCUCCUCCUCCCUCCUCUUUGGUGAGCUCCUCCUCCCUCCUCUUCGGUGAGCUCCCCUCAUGGUUUCUCCUUCCUCCUCUCCGAUGCUCCGGUGAACUCCUCUCCGGCGACCUCCUCCUCCUCUCCGGCGAUGUAGGCAAGCACCUCUCCGGCGACCUCCUCCUCCUCCUCUCCGGCGAACUCCUCUCCGGCAAAAGAACACGGCAAAAGAACGUACAAGAUCCAAAAACAGGAACAAAAUUUGAAAUAAUAUCGUGCAAAAAAUGAGCCGAAAAAAGAGCAAAAAAUGGGCAAAAAAAUCGCGAUCCAGAUCCAAAUUCAAAAAUAGCAAAGGAUACUAAUGGUGCAUCACUAAACAGUGCGCCAUUAGUAUGCCGAAGUUACUAAUGGCGCAUCCUGUUGUUGUGCGCCAUUAGUAUGCCAAAGCACCUGGGUAUAGAUGGCCCCCUGGGAGGCAUACUAAUGGCGCACUGUUGUAUAUACUAAUGGCGCAUCUGGGGUGCGCCAUUAGUAUACUAGAUACUAAUGGCGCACCAGUGGUGCGCCAUUAGUAAAAUAUACUAAUGGCGUGGUACUAAUGGCGCACCACUAAUGCGCCAUUAAUGGCCAAAUUAGGUGCGCCAUUAGUAGGCCUUUUCCUAGUAGUGAUGGCAUUGCAUAAUUCACAUACAUAAUGCCUUGCAACAAGAUAACAUUGCUUAAUUCACAUAUAUAAUGUCUUGCAACAAGAUGGCAUUGCAUAAUUCACAUAUAUGGUAAUUAGACACUAAACAGGUGGCAUUCACACAAAGCAUGUCUAAACUAAGCAAAUGACAUAGCAAUGCAAGAUACCAUACACACGAUAUGAGCAACAUAACCCUGCCAAGUUAGGGCAUGCACCUCGGGGGGGGGGGGAAUAUGACUGGUCAUCUGUCUCUGAAUCCUCCUCUAAGGAGCUAUCGGUAACCAGCAAGACAUGCGCUUCGUCAGAUAGCAUUGUCUGCUCUGAAGACCUUGUUUCCACUCCAGAUUUUUCCAUGACCGUGCCGAAUGGCUGAUGCACAGGAAGAGUAAUUGAAUGUACUAAAAUUGUUGACAAAUUUAACACGUAAUAAAAAAAUGAUGGCAUGAUAUAAUUCACAUAUAAGAUGACUGGCUAACCAGGGUGGCAUUGCAAAAUUCACAUAUAUGAUGCCUGGCUAGACAAGAUGGCAUUGCAUGAUUCACAUAUACGAUAAAGAAACUAAACAGAUGGCAUUGACACAAAGCAUGUCUAAACUAAGCAGAUGACAUCUUUAAUGUAUACAGUAAGCAAUGCAAGGCACCAUAUGCAUGAUAUUACCAACAUCAGCAUGCCAAGUUAGAGCGAAGACCUCAUGGGGUAAAUAGGAGUGGUCUUCUCCUUCUGAACCCCCCUCAGAACAGUUAUCUUCCUCUUGAUUACGAUCCAAAAUGGGUGGAGGGGGGCUGCCUUUGCGCCCACCAUGGAACGACGUCUGCAUGAAAUUUUAUUGCCAUGCAAGGCUCGUCUCUUUUGCUCUACAUGAUCAGUUCCAUUGUGUACAAUAAAUGGCAUGCAUAGGAAUAAAACAUAGUGAGAUUAUGUAAGGAGUGCAUGCACAAAUCCAGAGUGAUGGUAGCAAACUAUGGAUAGACCCAAAACCAAUGAUAGCAGGCAGAUAAUAGCUUUAGUUAAAAAAUACAGAUAAUGGCUCCUUUAAUGUUUGUUUGCACCCAACAUGAAACUCAUAGUAGACACCGGAGAUUAACCAGAUAGUAGACAGAUAGUACUGAUUGCUGCCCCAAUAUGUACCCCACAACCAUUUAAAAACUCAAGUUUCAGCAUUAGUUUGGACCUGACUCGGAGUCUAAUAGGUGAACACGACGAUAAUGUAGCAUGUCAUCAUAUUAAGCGACGCAUAACGUAAGCAGACACGGAAGAGUGCGACCUCUCUUGUGGACCCGUGUAGUCCUCAAGGUCAUCUGCUCAGUUGAUGAUGGUAAUGCAGUUGCCGUGGCUGCCGACGGCGGGGAAGAAGAUUUGAGGCGGCGAAAGACAGUCUGGAGAGCGGAUCCCUGCUGUGGUGAAAAGUAGUACCAUAGGAAACUUUCCAAUUCCGAUGUUUUUCAUUCACUUUUCCUUUCAAGCACUGGCGAUUCUAGUAGGCAGGCUUGAGCAAGGAAAAUCCUACACUAAAAAAAUGUUUUUGUGCUACUUCUAUUACUUUGGACCCAGGCCACUGCCAUACUAGCUCAACUCCCAGGCCCAUCGACAAAUGCACAGCUCAAACGCGCAGAGAUAAAUAAUGAUGGCGUUCAAGAGAGUCCAUCACGGAUAGCUAAGUUGCCUGGUACCUCACUGCUUGUCAUAUACUAGGAUAAAAUAAUCGUAUUUCCCGUUACUACGAGUGCUCAGUGGACAAUAUAUAUAACAUGUAGAGUAAAAAAGAGAUGCAACAAGUGUACAACCUCUUUGGCGAAGCCAUGUCGAUCUCAGCGUGAUUGGGUUGGCCGGUGAGGAUGCUCCGGCUAACUUGGCUGUCGGAGGAGGGGAAGAAGAUCUUAGGCGUCUCGAGAUGGAGCCCGAGGUACUGCUCCGCUGUGAUGGAGGGUUUCGUCGUUGGAGCAGCUCCGGUGAGUUGUACGACGCCGAGACUGAAGCAGGACAAGAGAGACAACGAACAACGUUAACCUGAGUGGAAUUCUAAUAGCAUAUCCAAUACAUGACGUAAAAUACAUAACCACAAAGUGCUAGAUGUAAAAUACAUCAGCCGCUCAUCUCUGAACUUAACUGUCGAAACUAAAUUUAACUGUCAAAACUGAACUUAACUGUCGAAACUGAAUUUUGCUGUCGAAACUGAACGCACUAGCAAGGUGAGGCUACACGUCGGUCGACUGACUUUUUCAUCUCUAGUCAGUCGAUUUUGCAGCCGUUGGAUACGAAAUCAAGGGCCUCCGGUUCAUCUUCAACCUCCACCCUCCUGAGCCGCCAGCCACCACCGGCCAAACAGCAGCCCCCCGCCGCCCGCGGCCGGUGGUGCGCCGCCCCGCCCGCCCCGAAAACACUCCCNNNNNNNNNNNNNNNNNNNNNNNNNNNNNNNNNNNNNNNNNNNNNNNNNNNNNNNNNNNNNNNNNNNNNNNNNNNNNNNNNNNNNNNNNNNNNNNNNNNNNNNNNNNNNNNNNNNNNNNNNNNNNNNNNNNNNNNNNNNNNNNNNNNNNNNNNNNNNNNNNNNNNNNNNNNNNNNNNNNNNNNNNNNNNNNNNNNNNNNNNNNNNNNNNNNNNNNNNNNNNNNNNNNNNNNNNNNNNNNNNNNNNNNNNNNNNNNNNNNNNNNNNNNNNNNNNNNNNNNNNNNNNNNNNNNNNNNNNNNNNNNNNNNNNNNNNNNNNNNNNNNNNNNNNNNNNNNNNNNNNNNNNNNNNNNNNNNNNNNNNNNNNNNNNNNNNNNNNNNNNNNNNNNNNNNNNNNNNNNNNNNNNNNNNNNNNNNNNNNNNNNNNNNNNNNNNNNNNNNNNNNNNNNNNNNNNNNNNNNNNNNNNNNNNNNNNNNNNNNNNNNNNNNNNNNNNNNNNNNNNNNNNNNNNNNNNNNNNNNNNNNNNNNNNNNNNNNNNNNNNNNNNNNNNNNNNNNNNNNNNNNNNNNNNAGUCGAUUGAAGUGUAGCUAAAUCGGAGCAGCAUCGCAAGCAAGAGCAAGAGCGAGAGCAGUAGCGUGAGCAAGAGCAAUAGCAAGAGUAGACCAGGCAGGGGACCGAGAGCAAGAGCAGAGCAGCAGCGCGAGCGAGAGCUAAAGCAGCAGCAGCUCCUACUGAUGUGGACGUCGCCGCCGAGGGAGCGACGCCGUGGAGGAAGUGGCCGGCGACGCCACCGUGGACGGAGCCGCGCCGUGUCGGCUCGGGACCGAGCGCCGGCAGCACCGUGAGAUCGAAUCAAGAAGAAAAUGCGGCGAUUAGUGUACAACCUCUUUGGUGGCGCCGAUUAGGCCGCAGCUUCAUCCGAGGAAACGGUGAUGAUGAUGCUCUUCCGGUGGUGCAGGUAAAGACGGCGGUGUGGGAAUGGAGGUGGCGCGAAAGACGAGGGGAACAUCGGGGCAGCUCCUUGGAGGUGGAGGACGGGGUGGCUGAACCGACGGGAUGAUGAGAUCGACGACGGAUUCUCAUCCGGUACGGUGGAUGAGGGACGUCGAGGUAUUGCUGUGGACGACGUCGUCGGGGAAGAGGCUCCGGCUGGGUGGCAGACGGAGCAGGGUGUGGGGUUUCAUUGCGGGUUUUCGCGGCCUCGGUGUACGAAUGGGUGGACGGAUGGGAUGGCAGUGGGGAACCAUGGCUUAGAGACGCGCUUGUCCAAAAUGUGGGGUAAGUUACGAAAGUACCCCCACCGAUUUGAGGCGGUUCUUUCGGUUCAGGGGUACCACGGGCAUUUCGCAUGUCGGGAUUUCACAGGAGGUGGGAGUUUUCGCGCGCGUUGUAAUUUCGGAAUAGCAAGGCACGGGUUGAGAUGGAGGGAGUUGUCGGAGCACAACGAGACAAAGAUAUAUCUUAAAUAUUUCAGGCUAACAAGGCGCGGGUUCAAUAGGCGGGAGUUUCGCAGCACGAUAGACAGAGACGCUAGCUUGAAUUUUCGGCAUAACAAGGCGCGGCUUGAAAUUUCGGAAGAACAAGCUUAACAUGUACCCAAAAAAAAGACAAUUUGCACCUCAACACGCACAACACACACACAAACACCAUUUAGACUAGAGUAAGGUACACGUGCAUUGCACGCAUGAGAUUUGGCAACCAAAUUAUGAAUAAAUACCACAUUAUAGCAUGCAAGCUUUGAGUCAUAUAUGCAUGAUGUAGAUGUUCGUUUAAUUCUUAUAGUUCAUUUCAUUCAAAAUCAUCUAGUUUAUAUAAGAAAGCUAAUCUAUUUUAAGAUUCAUGGAAUUGUGCGUCGUAAGAUAUAAAGUAAAAACAAAUAAUGGCAAAUCAUGUAGAAAAACAUUUGGGCAAUUCUGAUACGGAAGAUUCUAGAACAAAUAAGAAGUGCUUGUGUUUUGAUGUUUGUGCAUUAUGCUUAAGUUCAACCAUGGAGUCUUCUAGAUUAUACAUGUGGCGAAAUCUGGUGGAAUCUAGAUGAUAUCCAACGGCCAGUAGUGCUCAAAUUUGCCAUCUUUGGACCAUCGGAUUCGCCUCAUCCAACGACAAUCUUUCAAAGUUAAAGUUACCCGCACACAAUAUAAAAAAAUAUAACAUAUAAUAUAUAUAGGGGUAUAGAUAUAGAUAUGUGAUGCGAAAGCCGCCCAUCAUCUCCAAUUAGAAUAGUGUGUCCAUGCACGGAUGCGACGUGGCCAAAUGAUGUCUGCCAUCGGUAUCUCAAAUUCAAAUCAGUCUGACCUUGUUCAAUGUGUAUACAUUACAACAUGCUCGUUUCCAAACCACACCGUGCAGAUCUCCGUUAUAUUCAUGCAUGCAUGGGUUUCAAACAUCAGGAUCUCUUAUUCAAAUAUUUGAAUUCAACUUUACAUUGAUUAUGACCUCACCUAUUCUUUUACACUCACACAGUAGUCUUCUCUUUAUAAUUGUAUCACUAACUUUCUCUCGUGCAUGCAUGCACACACACUACCAGUCGGCAUUAUCCAUCGCACGCAUACAAUCUUUUUCUUCAGGUCGGUCUCCCAUGAAGGCACACACCCACACACAUCCCCCUCUCCAUCAUAUCGGGCAUUCUUUAUCUCUCACGCGUGCAUGCGCAACGAUCGAUGUUCCUCUAUGUAUGUGUGUAUAUAGCUAGGUCUUUCAUAGUUUUCCACACAAACCGAUCAAUCGAUAUAUCCAGUGAGGUCUCACCCUCUUUCCCACGUCCACAUCGAUCAAUCUAUACCUCUCUAUAUAGGAUUAACAUAUAUAGCUAAUACACCCACAUUAAUUAUAUAUCCAACGUCCCCCUCUCAUCAUCCAUGCCUUCCGCUUCAUCUCUCAGACGCGUGCACAAUGGCGAAGACAGGGGGCAGUAAGGGCCCUGCCCCCCUCCCCCCCUAACAUCACUAUAUAUCGAGGCUAAUAUGAAUGUGAUCAUUAGACAAGUGCUGCUAAAAAUGGUUUAAGUUCAUGAAUUGACCCUCCUCGUAAAGGAUUAGCAAUGCUUGGCCCCCUAGCUCCUUUAUUUUUCAUGGCUCCGCCACUGCGCGCAACAGCGCACGUGUUCGCCCCCUCUCUCUAAAUAUCGAUCUCGCACUUGUGCAUUCCUUCAUAGUCUCCCUCCACUCAGCCCCUCGCACCAUCUUCUAGCCCCCCACCGGAUUUUGCCACAUGUACAAUCUAGCAGACUCCAUGGUUGAACUUAAGCAUAAUGCACAAACCUCAAAACAACAGUGGUUCUCUUUUGUUCUAGAAUCUUCCGUAUCAUAACUGCCCAAACUUUUUUUCUAGUUGAAUUGCCAUUAUUUGUUUUUACUUUAUGCUUUACAACGCACAAUUCCAUGAAUCAUAAAAUAGAUUAAGGGCUUCUUUGAUUCAAAGGAUUCUCAAAGGAAUUUUGGAGGAUUCUAAUCAUUAGGAAUUUUUCCUAUCUUGGUUGUUUGAUUCGUAGGAUUGUAAACCAUAGGAAUUUUUCCAUAUGAUUCAUUUGCACUAGAUUUCAUAGGAAACAUCCCAUCCACUCAAACCUCUUUGAAAGAAUUCUGCGUUUUUUCUAUGCACAAUCAAACACUCGUACAAUCCUGUAGGAUUCAAGACGACAUUCCACUAUAAUCCCAUGUUUUUUCUAUUCCCGCGUUCUUAGCUUUUUUAUAAAAACUAAUUGAUUUUGAAUGAGAUGAACUAUAAGAAUUAAACGAAGGGCUACAUCAGGCAUAUAUGACUCAGAGCUUACAUGCUAUAGUGUGGUAUUUAUUCAUAAUUUGGUUGCAAAAUCUGAUGCGUGCAAUGCACGUGUACCUUACUAGUACUUCGAGUAUGUGCAAAACACGUAAAUUAGAAUACCAAUGGCACGCUACACAGUGUCUCUCUUACAGUUCAUGAAGCCAUGUGGCACAUGUGGAGGCGUUGUCGCGACCUCCUUGCGUGGAUUGAUCACAGUGACGUGCUGCUGGUUCCAGAAGAAUGUACUCGUCCUCCCUGAGCCAUACUGGCGGUAUAUGCACGAAGCGAAGAUGUGCACGCACGCCACGCACGCACUCAUUCCCUCGCACGCACACGCGGGUACACGGGCGGACGCAAUUUUGUACCAAGAUCCACCCCAUGUGAUAAUUUGACGCGUGUAAAGUCGUUCACUUCAUUGAUGGUCAAUUAAUACAGCGCAUGCAAAUUGAGUGGACGUGAGGGCGGAAGAAAGACAUUAUUACUCCACUGCGCGCAUGCGAGUAGUUAAAUCGUGGGUUGCUAGUAGUACUUCCAUUGGUCUCCUUCGUAUUUUUGUGCCAAUUUUUGACAGUAACAUAAUAUUUACGCAUUUGAGCAGUGUAGUACUUGAAAUUUAUGUUCCGCUAAACUCAUAGGGAGCCGUUUCGGGCCUCGAAACCAAAACCAUCAAUUAAUCUUUACCUUGUUCCCAUCACAUUCGAAAGCCUGCUCACACCUACUAGUGCGUACCAAACCUGAACGUGUUCCCACUAUGCAGGUAUUAGUACUAGUGCUAGUACUUAGGUUAUAAAAAGGGGAACUACCUAACCAAAAAUUACUCUACCUUUCCUCCUCAUAAGUGCUUCUUCUUCGUCCGUCGUUGCCAUGGCCGGUGAGCAGAGCUCUAGGUCGAGAAAUACUCGUAACAAGGGAGUGGCAACCAAGGCCGCGGAAAAAAAGAGGGCUCGCCGCCACGUAGAGACCUCGAAAGAUCUCUCACGGGCAGGCGAUGGCUCCCAGGAGCGCCCUAGCCGCGGAGGCGAACAUGCCGAGCCGGCGGAGCUGGAGUCGUUAUCCCUCGACGGCAUGCCCGAUCAGCUCAAUAAGCAGAAGGAGUUCAUCCAAGGCUUGAUGGAGUUGCUGAAGGAGAGCCUCGAAGACAUGCCCGCUGAGCUCAAUCAGCAGGGGGAGUUGACCGCCGGCUUGGUGAUGCUGCUGAAGAAGAGCAUUGCCUCGGAGAAGAAGGCGACCGGCGAAAUCCUGCGACUUCAGGAGGACAAGGCGAAGCUCUGCCACAAGAUCGACCUGUUGAAGGAGAAGAACGCCGGCUGGAAGAAGCUACAUGAGAAUAGUAGUUCCUCGAUGAAGAUGUUGCAGGCCCUCGUCAUGGAACAGAAGGAGGAGUUGGCGAAGCUCCGCAUCGAGCACCCGGCUGCUGUCAAGGUACGUAAUGCGGCCGUGGAACAGAUGAUGAAGGCUCGCGUCGAGAAAUCCCGCGUCAUGGACAGAAUGAAGAAGAUGGCGGAGGAGACGCGCAACGAGAUGGAGGCCGUGGAGGCGAUGAAGAAGCAGUUACUACUCCGCGGCGAAUUAGAUCAUUUCGGGUGAUAAUCUUCCUUCUUCUUUUGCUCCUGUGUUUCAUCUUUCGCUUCGGGUGUUUCGCCGCACGUGUCACGUUCUCUGCGAGGCAUGAAUAGAACAAUGUUUUUUUUGAGGGAAUGAAUAGAACAAUGCUAACAAUGAGAUGACUAGCAAAUUAGAUCAUUUUUAUCGCCAUAUGGCACAGGGCUGCCGUGUUUCGUGCUCCUCCGUCGCAGUACUACUCGAGUGGAAAACUUGAGUAUACCGCAUGGUUCUUUGCUCCUCCUCGAUCAGGUCGUCGGCGCAUUUAUAUGAGCAGUCAAAUCACAAGGCCCCGCCUUCCAGCAGUAAUGAGCCGUCAAUCACAAAGGCCCACUCCUCUCGUGAAACCGACCAAGCUAGACUACCCCGCCCUCCAGCCUUUAAAAAUGUAUACUUUUGUACAACAGUAUUAUCGAUGGAUUGCGCCAUGGAGCAAAACUUGAAAUUAGAAAAAAGGUGGUACAUAUAGAGAGCGCUCGUCGCCAAAUUAUGCAUAUAGUACUAUUAAAAAGGCUAGUCACAAUAGUGGUGUGCAGCACAACCCACCCCUCAAAUAAAACUAAGAGGGUGCUUGGAUACGUUUUAGUCCCAUGACUAAAAGUAGUGGGACUAAAACAUGCUAGCCUCACCCAUGCUUGGAUCCAAAUACUAAAAUGGCUAAAAUCAAGUUAAUGAGCAUUUAUUAUCCUCCAAACCCUCCAAUCCAGAACUCGCCUGUGUUAAAGGAGAGGAUUUAAAUGAGUAGAGAGAGGACUAAUCCACAUUUUAGUAGGGGUACCCCUGACUAAAAUUUUUUAGUCUCAAGACUAGUUUUAGCCCCUCUUUAGUCAGGGGUGCUUGGAACUUUAGCCUCUUAAAGAGACUAUUUUUAGUCAGACUAAAAUAAGUCCCUUGGAUCCAAGCACCCUCUAAGCAUCCUGGAAUUCUUUGACAAAACUAAGCACCCUGAAAUUCUUUGACAACUAAACUGCUCGCUAUAUGAUGUUGGCCAUAUAUAUUGUACGUAUAUAAUGUGAAGAAACGAGUGGUAGUACCAUACCAACUAAAAGAUGAAAUGUAAGAAAUACUAGUAUGUACGUACUGAAGAGUUAAAGUAACGAGAAGAAACAUAACAUAGUUCUGCUGGGGGCUCAGCACAACACACCCCUCAAAUUAAAUUAAGCACACCUGAAAUUAAACUUAGAAACUAUUCCGGUAGACACUACAUUAGAACCACCAUGAGCAACGACACUGCCACCUUACUCGGAGUCCUCGUCCACGUCCUCGACUUCGUCCUUGUCCCUCUUCCUCUUGGCCGAUACUUCUUUGCUUGAACCGCACACUUGGCUGUUGCUCUUCAUCCAACCCUUGUAGAUAUUGAAGCAAAGGUAGCCAUCCAUUGCAGCGUAGUGGAUGUGGUCUAUAUCUAGUACAUUCCGCUGCCGUGCAUGACGAUGAAACGUCUAUGGAGGUUUCUCCAGUUGACCGUACGAAGGAUGAACCAUGGCUCCUGCCAGGGUCAGCAUUGAAGGCUGACGAGAGGACACCAACCGAUUCUUCUGGAGGUCGAAGAUGUUGCCUACAACGAGGCCUAUCCGACGCAGGACUUCUUUGUCGUUACCAAAGUCUACAGUAACGAAUUUGACUAGGUUGCUCUCGAGGAAGUCCUUAUAAUCCUAGCACUCAACGUCGGCAUGGCAUAUGUGGUAGACCAAGCAUAAGUCAUGCACGCAAACCUGGAUCACGGUGGGCUUCUUCCUCUCUUCGUCCUUUAGAUCCUUCUCUCGUCCCAGGAUUGUGGUGUACUCAACAUCUAGCCCAGUGACCCACUCAUCAUCUGAGUCUUCGAACAUGCGUCUGAAGCGAGAAAGGCAUCCUUUCACCGUCGCGGAAGAACGGGUGUAGAUGACGUCGAACUCAUCGCCGGUGAUGGUUCUAACCUUGUACUCACCACCGAUCGUGGAGAUUUGGGACGCCAUGGAUUUGGGAGGAGGGUUAGGAUUAGUGGAACUGCCGUAAUGUGAAUGGACGGGACGACUAGGAGCGAACUGCCGUAGUAUUGAAGGACGUGUGGGGACGAGUAGGAGCGAACUGCCAGCGUGCGAACGGCAGGGUAGUGGCUUUCCAUUCUCCCAUGAUACGGGCUUCCGAGAGCCCUUGGAUCUGAGAUCGAACGGUUGCAUGGCGUGAUUCUAGACCUAUGGGUGAAUAUCCUAUCCUGGAGGGUUAUUCUGAAAAUUUUCAGCAACUUAGCAUGCGACCGUUUGAUCUCAGAUCCAAGGGCUGCCAGCAGCCCGUAUCAUGGUCGCGCCUACCACGACCGUCGCGUCACUCACGCGGUCGCGCCCUUGGAGAUUUAACAUGGUGCGUUAGGCUAUCUGAUGUUGGCAUGUCAUACAUAGUCAUCACUUAGUCACUCAUACUACAACAAGGUUGGCUAUAAGUGUAAUUUUUUUACUCCUCUCUAUCUCUUUCUUCGUACUCCCUCCGUCCCAUAAUAUAAGAACGUUUUUGACACUAGUGUAGUGCCAAAAACGUUCUUAUAUUAUGGGACACAGGGAGUACUAGUAUUUAUUGCAUUUGCCAAGGAGUGACCUCUUCCAAUGAAAUGGUGUUGCUAAGUUUGCUUCAUUUAAUUAGCUAUAGACUCAAAAUUGUCUUUUCACCUAGGUACACGCGCUUAGCACCGUUUCUUCCUUGGGUCACCAAACUAGUCUCUCUCUUCUUGAUUAACUUGCCACAUCAGACUUUAUGCCUAUGUGGCAAGCUUAAGCACCUGUAGGAGCAAGUAAAAGUAAGUACAAUAGUGCGCUUUACAUGGCAUUUUUGCAUAUGUGGAGGAAACAGAGGCAAGGAAAAAGUGGAGAAGUGGGCUCUCACGCAAGAGCCAGCCUCUACUACAUGGUGGAGCAUUGGGAGAGGCACCUGUAUGGAGGUGGUCAGGAAUCGGGAGACUCACGCCGGUCGUAGCGCCGCAGUUAAAAUGAUAAUGGCAAGUCAAAUCACGGGGCCCCACCUGUCCAGCAGUAACUCGCUGUCAAAUCACACAACCCUACGUUUGCAGCAGCCUACUCCCUCGUCUUCUCGCGUCUCUGUCGAACCGACUAGGCGGAACUGCCCCGCCUACCGCGCAGGAAAAGCCCCGCCCUCGACUUUUAAAUAGUAUACAGUAUACUAAUUUUGUAUCCAUGGAUUGCGCCCGCGCCAUGGAGCAAAGCAUCUAGAAGACGGCGGUACACAUGUACGGAGUAUACACCACGCCCGUCGCGUUCGCGUCGCACCCCAGACGGUCGGUCGGUCUGGCACGCUGCUCUCCGAAUGGAACGCGCGUCAUAUUGCGUUUGCACACACAUGUGGGACGGCAAUUGAGAACCGACCAUAGGCACACUCCCCAGCCCCGCAAGUCGGGUGACUUAAUAGAAGAGGGAGACGAGCGAUAGUACUAGAGAAGUGUUGUACUACGUUGGUGCCUGGACGAUCCCUGCAAGACACGGAAGGUCAGUUCGUCCAUGCAUGUGACUAGACUCCAGCAGACACGCCUGGAUUGGCUAUCGUCUACAUAUCGUGCAGGCUGUGUUGUACAUGGCUGUAGUUGUGGUGAAAAAUCUAAAAAAAGGUUUCUUGUCAUCUCGCAAAAUUAGGUGUCAUGUGCUUCGGAUCACUGCGAGGGUUAAACAGCGACAACUGAGUUGGGCUAGUCAUUGAGGGAACAUGCACGAACAGUGACUACUCGGCUGCCAUCUAGGUCAAGCCGGCUAUGUUAAUUAGGACAUCUAUCGACGGACCCCUUUUCUAUGACUUUAUCUUUAAUUUGAGCUUUGUUCCUCAUCUAGUUUGUCCAUCGGGAUUCAUGUUGUCUCCUUUGGGCAGUGAGGUUAUGAUUUCUUGUCAUGUGGCAUUUUUUCGUGUUAUAUGUUAUAAUCCGGCGCUUCAAAUCAAAAUGACGACAACUGCGCCUCCGGGCCACGUGCAUGAAGACUUCUCGACAGUCAUUGACGAGGUCAAGCCGGCUCCGGUAGACAAAAGAAAACUAGUACUACUCCACUAUAUAGGCAGGAGCCUCCGCGCUUGCUUGCUAGUGUUGCUCUCUUCACACUGUCUCGGCCUCUCCAGAUCUAAACACGACAGUGGUGGCCACACUCUCUCUCUCUGCUCACCGCUGGUCACAGAUCCAGCCGGAUCCUCUCCGCCGGGGAAGGUGAGAAGGUGCAACGUUCACGCGGUCGUCCUCGGCGACGGCUCUUACCCACUGCUGGGCGCGUCCCGAUCAGCCUGCCUUGCCGUUCUCUCCCAAGCACCGCUGGCGAGGGAGGGCCUCCGACCCCUUCUUCCUCACUACCGUAGUGUGGGCAGAUCCGGCCUCCCGCCGCCCACCUAGCGACAUCCCGGUGACCAUCAGGUAUAACUUCCUUCGAAACCGGCCUUGCUCUACUUCCCGAGCUCCUGACGUUGCUGCAUUUGUAUCUUUUACUAUUUCUCAGGCCCCCUCGUAGAUAGGAUCGAUCGGCUGUUCGAAAACCACCUAAUUUUUUUACGUUUAAGAGGUAAAACUAGUUCAUGCACUCGAAUCUAGUACUACUUGGUUCAAACAAGGAAGAAAGGGGGUGGGGUGGGGGAGGAUUUGUUACCUGAAUCUAGGACUUGGUCGAAAGAGGAAAUAAUGGGGGCGAAAAGUAGCAGAGACUGGCUAUCCAACUGGUCUCUAGGUCUAAUAGGGAAAUAAAGGGAAACACAGUACAAACUCAAUAUAAACCCGAUCUAUUGGUUGAAAAGGAAAGAAAGUGGGGACUGGGGGACAAGUCAACAGAGUAAGUCCAGCACUAGAUUUGCUAGCCUCACACAGUAUAAGGUGGCUAUACCGAACAAAAAUGGGACCAACCCAGAUAUCCUGUUCUGAUGUUUGUUGCCCCGAGCCACUCCUAUGUAAUGCCACUGGUAAAAUGUAGUAGUCACACUGUUAAAAGUAAGGACACGUUAAACCAAUGUUGUUUUCAAUGUAAUGCCUCUAGUAAUAUGGAUCAAUGGCACUUCUUUACAUGUCCUGCUAAAAUUUCCCAUUAAGAUAAGUUGGUUCUUUUCGUUAGAAAUGCAACUGUCCUGGUCCGCCUACUCUCCCGUGCCCAAAGUAAUGUUGUAUUUAACGGUUGUCAUAGUUAAUCCUAAUGCCCACACUAAUAUCUAGCAAUGCCAGUGCUUUAGAAAUUGCUACUGUCCUUGUAGGAUUGCCAUUCAGAUAAGGAACAUGCUUCUUUUCAUUUGAUGCAUGUUUCAUCACUUGUUAGUCACCCUCCUUUCCACCUUUUUUUGCAAACAGAGAUAUACAUUUCACGCUCGAUCUUAGUUGAACUGCACAAAUGAUAUCCAAAUUAUAGUUGAGCAUUCCAGGAGCUCCACAACCAACCUUGAUGUUGCUCAAUUUUAUUGCAACUAAUGAAGAAGAAGCUCUGUGGGUUUCGUUUACUGAUGGAAAUGGAACCGGGGCUGGAGCCCUUUUCUUAAAAAAAUUGAAGAAGAAGCUGCUAGCUCACAGGACAUUGCUUCAUUUUAGGUGAACUGCACCAAAAGGUCCCAUGAAUUGAAUCAUCCAUGUUGGUGACUGAAAGAGCCAGCUUCAGCAUCCCAAUCUAAGCACCCCCAGCCUCCAUCCUUGCGACGCACGGUACACCUCGUUUGCCACCUGCUCGACCCUAGUGUCACUGAUAAAAUGAAGUAAUAAUACAGUUAAAAUAGAGCGAGUGUCUUCUCUAUCAUUUCAUUUCCAAUGUAGAUAAAGAAAGUGCUUCUCUUUGUUAAUGUAUGUUUCAUCAACUAGUCCCAUUGUUAAUGUUUAAGCGUUUCUGCAAACUGGGGUGCUUAAUUUUAGUUGAUAUGUACAAAAAUAGAGAUUUGAAUGUCUCAAGACGCCUCCUUGUACUACCGCUGUACACUGAUGUUCAUCACUGGCAGAAGGUGUAUCUGGGAGACUUGGGACGAUGUCCAGUAUGAGGCGUACCGUAUGAGGCGUCGCAGGGCCCAUCUCUCCCUCGCAGCAUGGCAUACUAUGAUACUAUCGCAAUAUUUUCUUCUAUUUAUUUUGUGUGUUUCAUCAACUAGUGCCACUAUAAUGUAAUCACGCUUUUUCAUUAUCUGUGCAAACAGGGUUAUUCAGCUGCAUUUUGGUGGAACUGCACAAAUGUACGUAUGGAACCGGCAUAUAUGCAGAGUGCGAGGUGUGCCAAGUAAAAAUUACCGACACCAACCAUGCUGCAUGCAUGCAUUUGCAUCCACCACCACCAGUGGGAUGUGUGGCGCUCUCUGUGGACGGAUCUUUCUCGACGGCAAAUCAUCUAACCAAAUACUAGUAGCUUAUAUUGGCAGUUUUCUACGGAGUACUCUUUUCUGAAAGAAGCACCAAUCUAUUUUUCUUUAUUUGUACACUGUGUCACAACUUUGACCCAAAGGUCCAGAGCUAUUUUAGGGUGAUUGGCGUAGUCUCGGAGACUGAUUGUAAGCAUGAUUUUCAUUAGCUAGCACACUGAUUGUAAGCAUGAGCGGGUGGAAGAUUAGGUUGGUGCGAAGCUUACCUUAAACCCUACCGCCGCCGUUGAAACGAGGCGGGCGUCGAGGGAACCGUGGAGAACGGCGGGGAAGCGACGUUGCGCCAUCCGGCCUCCUCUUGCGGUGGGAGAACGAAUACUCCUGUGGCUUCGGCUGGCUCUGCACCAUCACGAACGGCACACCAUACUCGAUCGAUUCGUUAUCCUCUGGGUGCUCAACCUUCGACCUGUACGCCCACCACCUUCGCCUGACUGUCGCCUCGGGCGAAUCUGUCUGCUCCAUCGCCCAGAGGAGAUACUCGAUGAACUCGGAGGACUGCGGCGUGACUGCCGCCGAGGAGUACAUGUACAUCGCCGCCGUCUCGCUCUUUCGCAUACAUUGCCACAUGGCCCGCACCGUCCUCGAAAUCUCCCACUCAUUGUCAAACCAACUAAGGAUCUCCUUCAACCUGGCUAACUUUGCCUGGUCGCCGCCGGCGAUCUGCCUGAUUCGCUGCUGCAUCCUCUCCAUAGAUGUCCUUCUGAGUGGUCCGGUGCUAGCUUUGGAAGAUGGGAGGAGAGACGAUGGUCUUGCAAUAGAGAAGAGGGAGAGGCUAGACGGUGGUUUUGGAAUGGAGAUGAUGGAGAGGAGAGGAGGUGGUUUUGCAAUGGAGAAGAUCAGAAGAGGGAGAGGCGAGACGGUGGUUUUGGAAUGGAGAUGAUGGAGAGGAGAGGAGGUGGUUUUGCAAUGGAGAAGAGGGAGAGGAGCGUGCAGCGGCAAUUUAGGAUUGGACGAGAGGGCCGGCGCGCUGUGACUGGAUCAAAAUCAAAAUCAAUUUACCCUUCAAUUAAGAAAGCGACCCCACAUUAACUAGUCUCCCUUUUAUCUGGGUCAUAAUUGACCAUGAUUUUCGCACAUAAAAUAUAUGUUAUACGUUGCAAAAAUAAUAUAAUUUGAAAUUACAUUCAGAUACGAACCAAACGAUACAAUUUUUGGUGACAUGCAUUCACAUUUUGCUUGUCAAAUACAGUACGUGGUCAAACUUUGACCCAAAAUAUGCAAAACAACAAAAAAAUACUUCCAAGACCAGCGCCGCUCUUCCGCUCUUCUCCUCUUAAACCACAGCCGCUCCUCUCCUGUUCCAAUCUAAAUGCAGCGCCGCUCCUCUCCUCUUCCAUUUCAAAACCACCGCCCCUCCUCUCCUGUUCUAGUCCAAAACCAGCGUCGCUCCUCUCCAGUUCUAAUCCAAAACCAGCGCUGCUCCUCUCCUCUUCCAUUCAAAAACAACAGCCGGCGAGUGAAGGUGUUGUGGAGAAGUAGAUCGAUGGAGGAGUACAACCGAUAUGUGAGGAUCGCAGACGACGAACCUGUGAAGCUAGCUAGGAUGUUGGAGAUACAGUCUUGGUUUGACAACAAGGACCAACUAGCGGCGACGGCGACAUCCAUGGCCAAAUAUCUGCAACAGAGCAGAUAGGCGGCGAUACUCCCGGAGGGAGUCGUGCCGGAGUACAUAGAGCUGCUCCUCUGGGCCAUGGAGCAAACAGAUUCACCGAAUCCGAUCAUGAGGGAGCGGUGGUGGGAGUAUCGAUCCCAGAUGGAGCAUCCACCAGAGAUUGAAGGAUCAAGCAUCUACAGGGUGCCGUUUGUGAGGGUGUCCUGCCAGAGCGAUCCGGUGGAGUCUUCGUCGACCGAACCCAACUGCAAGAGGAGAAAAGCAGUUGGCCCGACGACGCUUCCCCGCCAUCGUCUCCCUCGCCGUUCACAUCGUCUCACGGGGCGGCUGUCUGCCGCCGAGGAAUAGGAGGGGGCUGCCCCCCCAGCCCAAUAGUCGGGCAGGUUGUGAAUUGUCAGGAGGAGCUUAGGGUUGUCAGUAUUUGCAGGUUGUGAAUUGUGUUUUGUGUUGUGUAUUUUGAGAGUACUUUCAGAUAUGAAUGUCUUUUGAAUAUCAGAUUUGGAGUAUAGAGCAUAUGAAGUAUUUUAUGAAUUCUAGAGAUCUAUUUUUAGAACUUAAAAAAAUGUAGUUUCAUAGGAGUAUAAAAGUGCAGACAAUGUGAUUCUAAGAGAAGAAACUGCAAGUUUCAGUUGCAGAUAAGAAACUGCAAGUUCAGUUUCAGAUAAGAAACUGCAACUUUCAGAGGCAGAGCAUUUAUAUUAACACGACCUUUUCAAACAGGGUUAACAUCAUGUUGGAAGUUUUAUUCAUGGUCGAAAAUGGAACUACCAGCCAGUUAACAUCAUGCUGAUCAACAUUCAUGCAUAGCACAUCUUCAUAUGAUGCACAGUCAAAAUGCCCACACAAUGUCGAGUGUGCGAAACACAGAGAAAACGAGGGACGAAGUUUUGGCAAGUGUUGGACGUGGUUUUAGGCUGCCCCGUCUAGGCCUACUCCCUCCUCCCCGCGGCCGGCUCUGCUGCCGCGCGGGCCUCACCGCCCCACCGUACUCCCAUCGCUGGCCUAGCCAUCCCUCUACUCACCCACACCUGCUGUUAUUCUCCAGCGACGGCAGACGAACCAGUAAACCCUCGUACAGUCGUACUCCCCUCCGCGUGGGAAACAACUGCUGAGUCUUUCCUGCCUUCGUGUCGUUCCCUUCCUAGGACUCGUCGUCAUCCACCGCCCUGGUGCUCUCGGUGAGGCCUGGUCAACGUGGUCAACGACCGACAUGCAUCUGAAGUGGACUGUACGUGGAGAGGUCGACAGCUGGCUCCACGGCCGCACGCAAGGAAAUGCCUCCUUAUUACGCGCAAAAUAAUGAUUCCUCCACUUGACAUCAGGGACCCAGCGAAAGGGCCUCUGUAUUUCGCAAAAAAAAUGUUACCGCCGCUGACAGCUCGGACCCACCAGCUAUAUCUUCGCACGCAAGGAAGUGCCUCCUUAUUACGCACAAAAAAAUGAAUACUCCCCCUGCUAGCUGGGACCCACCAUGGUGGGAGGCUGACUUGUGGGCCUACUAAGUUGACUGGGACGGGGGCCUUUGUCAACUUUAGUCAAUAUGAACGAUUCUAGCUCCAGUGACCGUACGAUGUCCAUCCAACGGCCGUAGUGCUUCUUCAACCUCUGGUCUUCUUGCUCCAGCCGCCAAAGCAGCGCCGGUCAUGCCGCAUGCUCCUGCCUCCCGUGGCCGGCUAUGCUGCUGCGGAGGCCUCACCGCCCCCUACUAUUCCCACCGCUGGCCAGGCCCUGCGGCGACGGCAGCCUCACACCGCAGCCGAACCAGUGAACCCUCGUACUCCUCUCCGCGCGGGCUUCCACUGCCGCGUCUUCCCCGGCUCCGCGUCGUCCCCUUCCUAGGCCUCGCCGUCGUCCACCGCCGUGGAGCCCUCCGCGCGGCGUGGUCAACGUGGUCAAGGAACGACUUCCAUCGGAAGAGUACUAUACAUGGAGAGGCUGACAGCUGGGUCCACGGCCACAAUCCAUUUUUUUUGUGAUUUGCCAAGUAAGUCGCUUUGUCAGGCCGGCCGAGAAAAUGGCCCAUCAGUAAUAAGAAAUGGGCUGUACAUUUUUAAAACACAUCAAACCGGCAAUUAGUUUCAAAUAUCUUUUUUUCAUUUCGAGAUUUUAAAUUACAUUAAUUUUUAUGCGUGGAGAAUUUGUUGGAUUUUAUAUUGAUAUACAUUUAUUUUUAAAAUCAGUUCGAAUGUGAGUCGAAAUUUCGGGAUUAAAAACAGUUCGGACCGCACCGAAAUAUUCAAAAUUUCGUAUAAUUUUUUAACCGUGGCCACAAUAUGGGCUGUAAUGCUAACAAAAAGAAUAUGGGCUCAAAAAAACAUAAUAAUUAGCAAAUGGGCUGUAAAUUAUUAGAAAUAAUGGCAGAUGGGAUGUAUGAUGUUUUUCACAGAUUUGAGGCAACCUUUAAAAAAAGGUUGACGCACAAGCAGUGACUACGGCCGUCGUGCUUCUUCAAUCUCUGCUCUUCCUGCUACAGCCGCUCAAACAAGCGCCGUCGGGACUGCCUGCUCCCUCCUCCCCGCGGCCGGCUCUGCUGCCGCGCAGGCCUCACCGCCCCACCGUACUCCCAUCGCUGGCCUAGCCAUCCCUCUACUCACCCACACCUGCUGUUAUUCUCCGGCGACGGCAGACGAACCAGUAAACCCUCGUACAGUUGUACUCCCCUCCGCGUGGGAAAUAACUGCCGAGUCUUCCCUGCCUCCGUGUCGUUCCCUUCCUAGGCCUCGCCGUCGUCCACCGCCCUGGUGCUCUCGGCGCGGCCUGGUCAACGUGGUCAACGACCGACAUGCAUCUAAAGUGGACUGUACGUGGAGAGGUCGACAGCUGGCUCCACGGCCGCACGCAAGGAAAUGCCUCCUUAUUACGCGUAAAAUAAUGAUUCCUCCACUUGACAUCAGGGACCCACCGAAAGGGCCUCUGUAUUUCGCAAAAAAAAUGUUACCGCCGCUGACAGCUCGGACCCACCAGCUAUAUCUUCGCACGCAAGGAAGUGCCUCCUUAUUACGCACAAAAAAAUGAAUACUCCCCCUGCUAGCUGGGACCCACCAUGGUGGGAGGCUGACUUGUGGGCCUACUAAGUUGACUGGGACGGGGGCCUUUGUCAACUUUAGUCAAUAUGAACGAUUCUAGCUCAAGUGACCGUACGAUGUCCAUCCAACGGCCGUAGUGUUUCUUCAACCUCUGGUCUUCUUGCUCCAGCCGCCAAAGCAGCGCCGGUCAUGCCGCAUGCUCCUGCCUCCCGUGGCCGGCUGUGCUGCCGCGGAGGCCUCACCGCCCCCUACUAUUCCCACCGCUGGCCAGGCCCUGCGGCGACGGCAGCCUCACACCGCAGCCGAACCAGUGAACCCUCGUACUCCUCUCCGCGCGGGCUUCCACUGCCGCGUCUUCCCCGGCUCCGCGUCGUCCCCUUCCUAGGCCUCGCCGUCGUCCACCGCCGUGGAGCCCUUCACGCGGCGUGGUCAACGUGGUCAAGGAACGACUUCCAUCGGAAGAGUACUGUACAUGGAGAGGCUGACAGCUGGGUCCACGGCCACAAUCCAUUUUUUUGUGAUUUGCCAAGUAAGUCGCUUUGUUAGGCCGGCCGAGAAAAUGGCCCAUCAGUAAUAAGAAAUGGGUUGUACAUUUUUAAAACACAUCAAACCGGCAAUUAGUUUCAAAUAUCUUUUUUUCAUUUCGAGAUUUUAAAUUACAUUAAUUUUUAUGCGUGGAGAAUUUGUUGGAUUUUAUAUUGAUAUACAUUUAUUUUUAAAAUCAGUUCGAAUGUGAGUCGAAAUUUCGGGAUUAAAAACAGUUCGGACCGCACCGAAAUAUUCAAAAUUUCGUAUAAUUUUUUAACUGUGGCCACAAUAUGGGCUGUAAUGCUAACAAAAAGAAUAUGGGCUCAAAAAAAACAUAAUAAUUAGCAAAUGGGUUGUAAAUUAUUAGAAAUAAUGGCAGAUGGGAUGUAUGAUGUUUUUCACAGAUUUGAGGCAACCUUUAAAAAAAGGUUGACGCACAAGCAGUGACUACGGCCGUCGUGCUUCUUCAAUCUCUGCUCUUCCUGCUACAGCCGCUCAAACAAGCGCCGUCGGGACUGCCUGCUCCCUCCUCCCCGCGGCCGGCUCUGCUGCCGCGCAGGCCUCACCGCCCCACCGUACUCCCAUCGCUGGCGUAGCCAUCCCUCUACUCACCCACACCUUCUGUUAUUCUCCGGCGACGGCAGACGAACCAGUAAACCCUCGUACAGUCGUACUCCCCUCCGCGUGGGAAAUAACUGCCGAGUCUUCCCUGCCUCCGUGUCGUUCCCUUCCUAGGCCUCGCCGUCGUCCACCGCCCUGGUGCUCUCGGCGCGGCCUGGUCAACGUGGUCAACGACCGACAUGCAUCUAAAGUGGACUGUACGUGUAGAGGUCGACAGCUGGCUCCACGGCCGCACGCAAGGAAAUGCCUCCUUAUUACGCGUAAAAUAAUGAUUCCUCCACUUGACAUCAGGGACCCACCGAAAGGGCCUCUGUAUUUCGCAAAAAAAAUGUUACCGCCGCUGACAGCUCGGACCCACCAGCUAUAUCUUCGCACGCAAGGAAGUGCCUCCUUAUUACGCACAAAAAAAUGAAUACUCCCCCUGCUAGCUGGGACCCACCAUGGUGGGAGGCUGACUUGUGGGCCUACUAAGUUGACUGGGACGGGGGCCUUUGUCAACUUUAGUCAAUAUGAACGAUUCUAGCUCCAGUGACCGUACGAUGUCCAUCCAACGGCCGUAGUGUUUCUUCAACCUCUGGUUUCUUGCUCCAGCCGCCCAAAGCAGCGCCGGUCGUGCCGCAUGCUCCUGCCUCCCGUGGCUGGCUGUGCUGCCGCGGAGGCCUCACCGCCCCCUACUAUUCCCACCGCUGGCCAGGCCCUGCGGCGACGGCAGCCUCACACCGCAGCCGAACCAGUGAACCCUCGUACUCCUCUCCGCGCGGGCUUCCACUGCCGCGUCUUUCCCGGCUCCGCGUCGUCCCCUUCCUAGGCCUCGCCGUCGUCCACCGCCGUGGAGCCCUCCACGCGGCGUGGUCAACGUGGUCAAGGAACGACUUCCAUCGGAAGAGUACUGUACAUGGAGAGGCUGACAGCUGGGUCCACGGCCACAAUCCAUUUUUUUUGUGAUUUGCCAAGUAAGUCGCUUUGUCAGGCCGGCCGAGAAAAUGGCCCGUCAGUAAUAAGAAAUGGGCUGUACAUUUUUAAAACACAUCAAACCGGCAAUUAGUUUCAAAUAUCUUUUUUUCAUUUCGAGAUUUUAAAUUACAUUAAUUUUUAUGCGUGGAGAAUUUGUUGGAUUUUAUAUUGAUAUACAUUUAUUUUUAAAAUCAGUUCGAAUCUGAGCCGAAAUUUCGGGAUUAAAAACAGUUCGGACCGCACCGAAAUAUUCAAAAUUUCAUAUAAUUUUUUAACCGUGGCCACAAUAUGGGCUGUAAUGCUAACAAAAAGAAUAUGGGCUCAAAAAAAACAUAAUAAUUAGCAAAUGGGCUGUAAAUUAUUAGAAAUAAUGGCAGAUGGGAUGUAUGAUGUUUUUCACAGAUUUGAGGCAUUCCUUAAAAAAAGGUUGACGCACAAGCAGUGACUACGGCCGUCGUGCUUCUUCAAUCUCUGCUCUUCCUGCUACAGCCGCUCAAACAAGCGCCGUCGGGACUGCCUGCUCCCUCCUCCCCGCGGCCGGCUCUGCUGCCGCGCAGGCCUCACCGCCCCACCGUACUCCCAUCGCUGGCCUAGCCAUCCCUCUACUCACCCACACCUGCUGUUAUUCUCCGGCGACGGCAGACGAACCAGUAAACCCUCGUACAGUCGUACUCCCCUUCGCGUGGGAAAUAACUGCCGAGUCUUCCCUGCCUCCGUGUCGUUCCCUUCCUAGGACUCGCCCUCGUCCACCGCCCUGGUGCUCUCGGCGCGGCCUGGUCAACGUGGUCAACGACCGACAUGCAUCUAAAGUGGACUGUACGUGGAGAGGCCGACAGUUGCGUCCACGACCGCACGCAAGGAAAUGCCUCCUUAUUACGCGCAAAAUAAUGAUUCCUCCACCUGACAUCAGGGACCCACCGAAAGGGCCUCUGUAUGUCACGAAAAAAACGUUACCGCCGCUGACAGCUCGGACCCACCAGCUAUAUCUUCGCAUGCAAGGAAGUGCCUCCUUAUUACGCACAAAAAAAUGAAUACUCCCCCUGCUAGCUGGGACCCACCAUGGUGGGAGGCUGACUUGUGGGCCUACUAAGUUGACUGGGACGGGGGCCUUUGUCAACUUUAGUCAAGAUGAACGAUUCUAGCUCCAGUGACCGUACGAUGUCCAUCCAACGGCCGUAGUGCUUCUUCAACCUCUGGUUUUCUUGCUCCAGCCGCCCAAAGCAGCGCCGGUCGUGCCGUAUGCUCCUGCCUCCCGUGGCUGGCUGUGCUGCCGCGGAGGCCUCACCGCCCCCUACUAUUCCCACUGCUGGCCAGGCCCUGCGGCGACGGCAGCCUCACACCGCAGCCGAACCAGUGAACUCUCGUACCCCUCUCCGCGUGGGCUUCCACUGCCGCGUCUUCCCCGGCUCCGCGUUAUCCCCUUCCUAGGCCUCGCCGUCAUCCACCGCCGUGGUGCUCUGCGCGCGACGUGGUCAACGUGGUCAAGGAACGACUUCCAUCGGAAGAGUACUGUACGUGGAGAGGCUGACAGCUGGGUCCACGGCCAUAGCCCAGUUUUUUUGUGAUUUGCCAAGUAAGUCGCUUUAUCAGGCCUGUUGGGCUGCAAAUCUUUCGAGAGGAGGAGAGCUUUCAUUCGGCUGGCCGAGAAAAUGGCCCAUCAGUAAUGAGAAAUGGGCUGUACAUUUUUAAAACACAUCAAACCGGCAAUUAGUUUCAAAUAUCUUUUUUUCAUUUCAUGAUUUUAAAUUACAUUAAUUUUUAUUCGUGGAGAAUUUGUUGGAUUUUAUAUUGAUAUACAUUUAUUUUUAAAAUCAGUUUGAAUCUGAGUCGAAAUUUCGGGAUUAAAAACAGUUCGGACCGCACCGAAAUAUGCAAAAUUUCGUAUAAUUUUUUAACCGUGGCCACAAUAUGGGCUGUAAUGCUAACAAUAUGAGCUCCAAAAAAACCCUUAAUAAUUAGCAAAUGGGCUGUAAAUUAUUAGAAAUAAUGGCAGAUGGGCUGUAUGCUGUUUUCCCAGAUUUGAGGCUUUCCUAAAAAAAGGUUGACGCACAAGCAGUGACUGUUGGAUGGUCAUCCAACGGCCGUCGUGCUUCUUCAAUCUCUGAUGUUCCUGCUCCAGCCGCUCAAACAAGCGCCGGCGGGACUGCCUGCUCCCUCCUCCCCACGGCCGGCUCUGCUGCCGCGCAGGCCUCACUGCCCCACCGUACUUCCAUCGCUGGCCUAGCCAUCCCUCUACUCACCCACACCUGCUGUUAUUCUCCGGCGGCGGCAGACGAACCAGUAAACCCUCGUACAGUCGUACUCCCCUCCGCGUGGGAAACAACUGCCGAGUCUUCCCUGCCUCCGUGUCGUUCCCUUCCUAGGCCUCGCCGUCGUCCACCGCCCUGGUGCUCUCAGCGCGGCCUGGUCAACGUGGUCAACGACCGACAUGCAUCUGAAGUGGACUGUACGUGGAGAGGCCGACAGCUGGGUCCACGGCCGCACGCAAGGAAAUGCCUCCUUAUUACGCGCAAAAUAAUGAUUCCUCCACCUGACAUCGGGGACCCACCGAAAGGGCAUCUGUAUUUCGCAAAAAAAACGUUACCGCCGCUGACAGCUCGGACCCACCAGCUAUAUCUUCGCACGCAAGGAAGUGCCUUCUUAUUACGCACAAAAAAAUGAAUACUCCCCCUGCUAGCUGGGACCCACCAUGGUGGGAGGCUGACUUGUGGGCCUACUAAGUUGACUGGGACGGGGGCCUUUGUCAACUUUAGUCAAUAUGAACGAUUCUAGCUCCAGUGACCGUACGAUGUCCAUCCAACGGCCGUAGUGCUUCUUCAACCUCUCGUCUUCUUGCUCCAGCCGCCCAAAGCAGCGCCGGUCGUGCCGCAUGCUCCUGCCUCCCGUGGCCGGCUGUGCUGCCGCGGAGGCCUCACCGCCCCGUACUAUUCCCACCGCUGGCCAGGCCCUGCGGCGACGGCAGCCUCACACCGCAGCCGAACCAGUGAACCCUCGUACUCCUCUCCGCGCGGGCUUCCACUGCCGCGUCUUCCCCGGCUCCCCGUCGUCCCCUUCCUAGGCCUCGCCAUCAUCCACCGCCCUGGUGCUCUCGGCGCGGCGUGGUCAACGUGGUCAAGGAAUGACUUCCAUAGAACGUGGACUGUACAUGGAGUGGCUGACAGCUGGGUCCACGGCCGCAGCAAGGAAGUGCCUCUUUAUUACACGAAAAAUAAUGAUUCCUCCACCUGACAGCUGGGACCCACCGGACGAGCCACUGUAUUUCACGAAAAAAACGUUUCCCGCUGACUGCUGGGACCCACCAGCUACAUCUUCGCACGCAAGGAAGUGCGUCCAGGCAAAAAAAAAACGAUUCGCCCCCCUGACUGCCGGGACCCACCAGCUACAUCUUCGCAGGCAAGGAAGUGCCUGACAGUCGGGACCCACCUGGUCGAAGCGUACGUAGCGUUGUCAUUCUGGUCGCGAACGUGUACGUACAUAUAUACUGGUGGAUGUAGAGGCGCGCACGUGUCGUAGUAGAGGCGCGUACGUGUCGUAGUAGAGGCGCGCACGUAGCAUGUACACGUACGUACAGCGGCCAGGGUGCAAGAAAGAAAAUACGGCCACGUAUGUGUACAUACGGGCGGGGUCUCAAACGCCUACUCGCGCAUACGUACGGCCAGGGCUCGUGUACAUGGCUGGGUCGGAACGGAGAAACAGCGUCAUCGUCGUGUUCAUGGGGAGGCAACGGAAUGCGUCGUGUUCAUGGGGAGGCAACGGAAUGCGUCGUGUUCAUCGGGAGGCAACGGAACGCGUGGGAGCCAACCGGCUGGGUCGGAAUGGAAUGCGUGGUCGUGUUCAUCGGGAGGGCUUGGACGGAACAGGCGAUGGAAACGAGGCCUGGCGUACCGCACAACGGAGGAAACGGACCUCCUACGUUCCGAACGGGGUCCUGUUGAUCGGGAGGGGUGUGGCGUACCGCAAAACGAAGGAAACGGACCUCCUACGGUCGAAACGGGGGUCCUGUUGAUCGGGAGGGGUGUGGCGUACCGCAAAACGGACGAAACGGACCUCCUACGGUCGAAACGGGGGUCCUGUUGAUCGGGAGGGGUGUGGCGUACCAUAAAACGGACGAAACGGACCUCCUACGGUCGAAACGGGGUCCUGUUCAUCGGGAGGGCUGUGGCGUACCGCAAANNNNNNNNNNNNNNNNNNNNNNNNNNNNNNNNNNNNNNNNNNNNNNNNNNNNNNNNNNNNNNNNNNNNNNNNNNNNNNNNNNNNNNNNNNNNNNNNNNNNNNNNNNNNNNNNNNNNNNNNNNNNNNNNNNNNNNNNNNNNNNNNNNNNNNNNNNNNNNNNNNNNNNNNNNNNNNNNNNNNNNNNNNNNNNNNNNNNNNNNNNNNNNNNNNNNNNNNNNNNNNNNNNNNNNNNNNNNNNNNNNNNNNNNNNNNNNNNNNNNNNNNNNNNNNNNNNNNNNNNNNNNNNNNNNNNNNNNNNNNNNNNNNNNNNNNNNNNNNNNNNNNNNNNNNNNNNNNNNNNNNNNNNNNNNNNNNNNNNNNNNNNNNNNNNNNNNNNNNNNNNNNNNNNNNNNNNNNNNNNNNNNNNNNNNNNNNNNNNNNNNNNNNNNNNNNNNNNNNNNNNNNNNNNNNNNNNNNNNNNNNNNNNNNNNNNNNNNNNNNNNNNNNNNNNNNNNNNNNNNNNNNNNNNNNNNNNNNNNNNNNNNNNNNNNNNNNNNNNNNNNNNNNNNNNNNNNNNNNNNNNNNNNNNNNNNNNNNNNNNNNNNNNNNNNNNNNNNNNNNNNNNNNNNNNNNNNNNNNNNNNNNNNNNNNNNNNNNNNNNNNAGAGGCAGCAUCGAUCGGCUUCAGUUAGCAGCAGUAGCGAAGGAAUCGCUCGAUCGGGUUCAGUUAAAAGCCAUCGAUCGAUCGCUCGGGUUCAGUAACGCGUAGCCUGCAGUGCAAUCGCUCGGGUUCAGUUAGAGCCCAACGCCUCGCUCGGGUUUAGUUAGAGCCAACGCCUCGCACACACGCGCGUACGUGUACGAGAGAAACGCGCAUUGCUCGGCCCCCGACCUCCCACCGUAACCGGGAACUCCCUGAAAUUUUCCUCGCCCUCGCUUCUACCAUGGUUUUUUCCGUCAUGGACGGCCCAAAGAAUGUCAUGCAGCUGCUUCUCCGGCCCACCCAGGAGGAAAAUCCCAUUUUCUGUCAUGAUUUUUUGUCAUAGAAGUAGGAGCCCACCACAUCUAUGAUGAUACCGGGUUUUGUAACAAUUAUCUUCAUAAAAGUGUCAUAUGUAUGACAGAAAAAAAAUUCGUUCGGCCCAAAAUGUCACGGAUGUGUCUUUUUUUUGUAGUCUGAUGUGUGAAAUGGAGCUUGAUCCUUUUAUGUUACAAUUUUUUUUAUCUUUGGUAUACACACCUCAGCUUUAAUAAUAGGUUCUGUGACAAAUUAGGAGUAGGAGUAUUUGUCUGAUAUAUAUUUAUGGUGCAGCUUUGUCCAAACUGAUAAUUAGGUGGUAGCUUUGUUAAUAAUAAUUAGAAGCUUAGAACUGUCAGUAAAUCCAUGGUAUUUACAAACAGGAGUGACAGUACUAGAACUAAAUUUAUAUUCAAGCGGGGAUCAUGUUAGUAUUUGGUGCAUGACAAGGAGCGGAACUUUUGCAAGCAGAUCUGCUUGGUUUGUGCCGAUUUGCUGAACUCUUUGUUCGGAAAUUAUGGUAUUUUGUAUCUGGAUUUGAUCCUUUUCUUUUAACUGCUAAUGUCAAUGACAAAAUUCUACACUCGUUGUUUCUACACUCGUGUAUGUCAAUGACAUUUGUUAGCCGAACUGGUGAGAAUAUCCAAACUGGUGAGAAUAGUAUUUGGCAGUGCCUUAGCGGAACAGUUGGGCAUAAGUUCGGAUAGGACUCCAAAUCUUUGUAGCAAAAUGAGCCAUGUCCAAAACUGCAGGCUGAUGUGUGUAUUUUGGGUCCAUAAAUAAUGCAGGCUGGUGUGUGUAUUUCAAGUCCAUGUAUAUUUCUAGGUCGUGUGUGUAUUCCAAGAACAUGUACACUGCAGAUGGAGUGUACUUUAGGUCUGUAUAUACUGCAAGUCCAUAUGUGUGCAGAGGGGGUAUGUAUUUCAUUGGUUGAAUUAGCGUGUCCGAUUUCUCUUGUGUGUGUAUUUCAAUUUGCCUUCCUGCCACAAAAUUUCUCUGUAGCAGUUGUUGUAUUGGAAACAUCUCCUUCCAAAAAGUAAAUGUUUUCACACCAAAUAUUUAAUGUUUCUUCAGAUAACCGAUGCAAUGAGUAUGACUGUAGUCUUUCAUGGAAUUUAUACUGAAAGACACUUUGUGAACUCUAAACUCAUAAUCUUUUCUAAAGAUGAAUCGAUGGUAUUGCAAUAUAUCUUUGCCUUUUUCCAACGGAUGCAUGCCCAUCCCCUGUUUAUCCAUUGUGUGUUUCUUUCAUUAAUCAAGAAACAUCUUAAUUUCAUGGCGGGUAUGUUGAAGAAUAUAUGAAUAUAUAAAAGCUUCCUUCUUUUGGAUAAUAUGUUUCCCUUUUGCUGGCCUAUGGUACUUGCCUGCACAUCUAUGCAUGAUAUUCACUACUGCUAUUUUGGUACUGCAGUUCAUAACUAUAUUGACUAUAAUGCAUGUUUCUAGGCGAUGGAAAACCUAGCCUCCGCUUCGCCCCGUCUCGGCUCUCUAUCUCUCUCUCCAAGCCGCUUGCACACGAAUUCGCUUUGUUACACUGUUUAUUACUUUUUCUAUAUUAUAUCAUCACUCAUGCCUUACUACAUGUUCUUUGAGUGAUGAGUUAAAUCUGUCUUAAUCUUCCAUGUAUUCUUAUUUCAGCGCUAGAGAUACUGUAUGGAGCUGAUAUUCCUCAGAAACUUUUUUGUUUCGUCAUAUGAAGUUCCUGCAAUCUAGGUUCUAAUUCCAUCCUCCUCCAGCCUGGAUAUGGUAAAUGUUAACUAAUUUUUUCGUAUGAGAUUGUGACAUGCGUAAAGGUAUUAAGAUGACAUAAUUAAUGCACUAUUGUUGCUUCCUAAUCAGUAUUAAGCAGGCAGUUUCAUCUUUUUGCUUUUGUCUAAAUAUUGUGAUGCCUAACACAUCCAUGCUUUAGUACCAUUUUGAGUUUGAUCAUUGAAUCUGAAUCUUUUUAGGAAUAGUUUGUGCAAUAGUUUGUGAUGGAUUGGACCAUUGGAUUAGUAUCCUUCAGCAUUCAUUUUGUGUUAGAGCAUCAGAUAGACAGAUUAUGUCAAGCUCACUUCACACUUAUUAUCCAGAUUGGAAGUGUCGUAAAAUCUGCCUGGAAAAUACAUGGCCUAUAAAUGAUAUAGUUGUUUGGGUCAGGAAAUUUGGGUGAUUUUGUUUGUGGUGCUCAAAAUUUCACUGCAACUUUUUUGUUCCAUUCUUAGCUAAAACCUGCCUCGAAUAGAUAGAUGGUGCAUAGAUGGAUGAUGAAAUUGUUUCAGUCUGGAUAUUCCGCUUUGAAAAAAUUGUCACGUACCAGGAAAGUUCUCUGUAUAUGUUGUAUAUAGCUUGUCNNNNNNNNNNNNNNNNNNNNNNNNNNNNNNNNNNNNNNNNNNNNNNNNNNNNNNNNNNNNNNNNNNNNNNNNNNNNNNNNNNNNNNNNNNNNNNNNNNNNNNNNNNNNNNNNNNNNNNNNNNNNNNNNNNNNNNNNNNNNNNNNNNNNNNNNNNNNNNNNNNNNNNNNNNNNNNNNNNNNNNNNNNNNNNNNNNNNNNNNNNNNNNNNNNNNNNNNNNNNNNNNNNNNNNNNNNNNNNNNNNNNNNNNNNNNNNNNNNNNNNNNNNNNNNNNNNNNNGGGCAUAGAUAAUGAGUACCAACUAUUGUAGUACACUGGUGAUGUACCACGUAGACUCCAGUACAAAACAAAGAGUUGACUGUACUCUAUGCUCUCUGAUCCGUUGGGCCCAAAAAUGAACAAGUGGAUCUUAUUGUUAGAUUUUAAUUUGAUUUUGGACAUUGUCGUACCUAGCUAUAUAUAGUACGGUUUACUUUCUUCAUUCUCCUGUUGCUAAAUCUUUGUGUUUCUUUUUCCUUUUGCUCAGGGCCCUAUGCUACUAUCGCUUGAGUGAGAGUAGUGCCAGAGCUUCACACGGUAAUGUCACCUCCUCUGAAAAUUAGUUGUCUACUAUUGGUGUGAAAAUCGUGCUACAAAUUAGCUAUCUUAACUCCAACCAUUUAUGUGGCUGUCAAAGUCAAUAUUUAGAGUGUUUGAGCUUUGAUUCAAUGGCUAAUUCCGACGAUGAUGUUAAAAGAAAGCACUGUGUUACAUCCACCUGAGUUCUGAAUGCUAUUUCUACAAUCAAUUUUCUUGAACAUAAAGUAUUCUUAUCAUCAGUGAGCUUGCCGAUCGUACAUUCAAGCUAUUAUUAUGAUGGUUCUCCUAUAGGAGAGGUUAUUUGUGUACCAGAUAUAAUUGAUGCUCUAGAAAACCAAAUGGCCUUUCACUCUGAAAAGACGACAAUUUCCUGUCCGACUAUGUUAUUUUAUGACAAUAAAUAUGAACCAGGGUUAGACAUUGUCCUUUCUUGAAAAUUAUAUCUGAAAUAUCAUGUUCUAUCCAUGGACAGUUGUAUGUUGUUGUGUCGCGGGUCAUAUCAAAAAAAUCCCUAAAAUUACUUAUGAAAGAUAAAGAUGGGAAGUGUAUGGAGACUCAGAACAUUUUUCCCCAAGGUUUAUGCCUCAACUAUCCCCUUUUAAGUUUCUCGACAUGGCCCUAUAAUAAUUAGUAGUAGCCUGCGUUGUAUUGUCUUUAACAGUAUAUCCUCGGAUACAUAAUUUUUUUUCUUUUCUCUUUGGCUACUAAAUUUUAUUGCCAUUCUUCUGCACGUAUAUGUGAUGUGGUAGAUUCUUUCUCUUCAUGUUUUAAGAAAUUACUUUAGGAUACUUCAUGUUCUAUUGUUAUUCUCUAUGAUCGUUAGAUUUCCAUUAUGCAUUGUUAUCCUCUGUCAUUAGAUAGUGUCUUGUAGCCUGUUUUCCUAAUGUUUAUUUGAAUAUGUUUUCUUUUAUCCACAGAUGAAGCCCAUCCAUUUGUCCGUUCUUCGGCAGGGUCACAAAGUCUUUGUCCCAAGAUUCUUCCCUUUGUAAAUAUGAAAGCAGCUUGCACGAUCUAUUCACAGACUUGCUCUGCUGCUUUGUAGCCCGACUGAUUCUGUACUCUUGAUCGUCCUCACGGCAUCUGUCAACUACAUUGUGAAUCAUCUCUUUAUCUUAAGGUUGUACUUGCUGUGCUAGAAUGAUCAGAUGAUAUAGUAAAUACAUCUUUCCUUUUUACAAGGUUCGGAUCAUAAGGAAUGUCAUGUCGUGUGAACCAAG